AGUGAACGCUGGCGGUAGGCCUAAUACAUGCAAGUCGAACGGCAGCACAGUAAGAGCUUGCUCUUACGGGUGGCGAGUGGCGGACGGGUGAGGAAUACAUCGGAAUCUACUUUUUCGUGGGGGACAACGUAGGGCAACUUACGCUACUACCGCAUAUGACCUACGGGUGAAAGCAGGGGAUCUUCGGACCUUGCGCGAUUGAAUGAGCCGAUGUCGGAUUAGCUAGUUGGCGGGGUAAAGGCCCACCAAGGCGACGAUCCGUAGCUGGUCUGAGAGGAUGAUCAGCCACACUGGAACUGAGACACGGUCCAGACUCCUACGGGAGGCAGCAGUGGGGAAUAUUGGACAAUGGGCGCAAGCCUGAUCCAGCCAUACCGCGUGGGUGAAGAAGGCCUUCGGGUUGUAAAGCCCUUUUGUUGGGAAAGAAAAGCAGCAGGUUAAUACCCCGCUGUUCUGACGGUACCCAAAGAAUAAGCACCGGCUAACUUCGUG
rnacentral:rRNA from 1 species